GCGGCCCAUCAGGUCGUUGGUGGGGUAAGGGCCUACCAAGCCGAUGACGGGUAGCUGGUCUGGGAGGAUGACCAGCCAGACUGGGACUGAGACACGGCCCAGACUCCUACGGGAGGCAGCAGCAAGGAAUUUUCGGCAAUGGGCGCAAGCCUGACCGAGCAACGCCGCGUGCGGGAUGACGGCCUUCGGGUUGUAAACCGCUUUUCGGGGG
rnacentral:rRNA from 1 species